rnacentral:rRNA from 1 species
AUUGAACGCUGGCGGCAGGCCUAACACAUGCAAGUCGAACGAGUGGCGGACGGGUGAGUAAUGUCUGGGAAACUGCCUGAUGGAGGGGGAUAACUACUGGAAACGGUAGCUAAUACCGCAUACCAUCAGAUGUGCCCAGAUGGGAUUAGCUAGUUGGUGGGGUAACGGCUCACCAAGGCGACGCUCCCUAGCGGGUCUGAGAGGAUGACAGGCCACAUGGGAACGGAGACACGGCCCAGACUCCAAGGGGAGGAAGCAGUGGGGAAUAUUGGAAAAUGGGCGCAAGCCUGAUGCAGCCAUGCCGGGUGUAUGAAGAAGGCUUUCGUGUUGUAAAGUACUUUCAGCGGGGAGGCGUUACCCGCAGAAGAAGCACCGGCUAACUCCGUGCCAGCAGCCGCGGUAAUA